CUCCUGUCUACAUUCAAGGUGUUCAUCUUGGCACAGAGAGAGCAAAAAUACAUCAUUAUUACUUGACUGCCUUAAUGCAGACUUCAGAACAUGGAUGAGAGGACCUCUUGCUCAAGAAAGCUACUCUUGCAGGGGAGCUGGACUCAGUGAUCUCUAGAAUUCCCUUCCAACCCCUCCAAUACUGUGAUACAUAUCAGAUAUUCUACUUUUUGCAUUUGGAUACUCUCCUUUGUAAGCAACUCUGCCAGCUCUUGGGGGAUGAACCAUGUCUGCCUACUACCACUGUGCUCACCCUGCUGCAAUAGGAUGAGGAACCUACAUUUCAGCUCUCCCAUUGCGCUUCUGCAGUCAUGAGGAAUGCAGACCCACUAGUUGUGAGAGCUUUCCCUCCCAACUAUGGUAGUGGGCACCACACUGGCAUUUAGCAGCAUGAAGCUGCCUUCUGAGGAUGCAGCUCCC
ensembl:lncRNA